rnacentral:rRNA from 1 species
GAGGAGAGUGNNAUUCCUAGNGUAGCGGUGAAAUGCGUAGAGAUUAGGAAGAACNCCAGUGGCGAAGGCGACUNUCUGGACUGUAACUGACGCUGAGGCUNGAAAGCGUGGGGAGCAAACAGGAUUAGAUACCNNGGUAGUCCACGCCGUAAACGAUGAAUACUAGGUGUAGGGGUUGUCAUGACCUCUGUGCCGCCGCUAACGCAUUAAGUAUUCCGCCUGGGGAGUACGGUCGCAAGAUUAAAACUCAAAGGAAUUGACGGGGGCCCGCACAAGCAGCGGAGCAUGUGGUUUAAUUCGAAGCAACGCGAAGAACCUUACCUAGACUUGACAUCUCCUGCAUUACUCUUAAUCGAGGAAGUUCUCCCUUCGGGGAGGACAGGAAGACAGGUGGUGCAUGGUUGUCGUCAGCUCGUGUCGUGAGAUGUUGGGUUAAGUCCCGCAACGAGCGCAACCCUUAUUGUUAGUUGCUACCAUUUAGUUGAGCACUCUAGCAAGACUGCCGUGGUUAACGCGGAGGAAGGUGGGGAUGACGUCAAAUCAUCAUGCCCCUUAUGUCUAGAGCUACACACGUGCUACAAUGGCGAGUACAAAGAGACGCAAAGCCGCGAGGUGGAGCAAAACUUAUAAAACUCGUCUCAGUUCGGAUUGCAGGCUGAAACUCGCCUGCAUGAAGCUGGAGUUGCUAGUAAUCGCGAAUCAGAAUGUCGCGGUGAAUACGUUCCCGGGCCUUGUACACACCGCCCGUCACACCAUGAGAGUUGGCAAUACCCGAAGCCUGUGAGAGAACCGCAAGGACUCAGCAGUCGAAGGUGGGGCUAGUAAUUGGGGUGAAGUCGUAACAAGGUAGCCGUAUCGGAAG